rnacentral:lncRNA from 1 species
AUUUGAAGUGUUUGUGAAAUGCAUGGAGAGGAUUCAUUCCUAGGUUUGCUAUUGUAUUACUGACACACUCUUGAUCAAGAAUUCUGCUAUUCAUAUUUUGUGGCUCUCCUUUCACUCACAGCUCUUCCUCUUCCAGGCCUCAGCACCCAACUAAUAUGUACCACUUGUGGCCAAGCUGUCCUUUGGAGGCCAUCCUGCAAGUGAGCUAUCCGCACAGCUCAUCGCCUUGGUCCGUUUCAACAUGUCUGCAACUUCAGGAAGUUCUUGGAUCACCUACACUUCUAUGAGAGCAAAAGCUCAUUUUUUCCUCACUGAAACACCUCCUGGAUUAAUCCCAGAUUUAGUGGAGAGCUGGGGAAGGGGAAAAGGUAAAAUUUGAAACUUUUUUGGAAAUUAUUCUAAUAAAAACAUUCCAAUUUUCCA